GGUUAUCAAGUGCAAGGCUGCAGUUGCCUGGGAGGCUGGAAAGCCUCUCUCCAUAGAGUAGAUAGAAGUGGCACUCCCAAAGGCUCAUGAAGUUCGAAUCAAGAUUGUUGCCACUGUGGUUUGCCACACUGACACCUAUAUCCUGAGCAGAGCUGAUCCUGAAGGUUGUUUUCCAGUGAUCUCGGGAAAUGAAGGUGCUGGAAUUGUGCAAAGUGUUGGUGACACUGUCAUCUCACUUUAUAUCCCACAGUGUGGAGAAUGCAAAUUUUGUCUAAAUCCUAAAACUAACCUUUUCCAGAAGAUAAGAGUCACACAAGGGAAAGGAUUAGUGCCAGAUGGUGCCAGCAGAUUUACUUGCAAAGGAAAGACAAUUUUACAUUACAUGGGAAUCGGAACACUUUCUGAAUACACAGUUGUGGCUGAUAAUCUCUGUUGCUAAAAUAGAUCCUCUAGCACCUUUGGAUAAAGUUGGUCUCCUAGGUUGUGGCAUUUCCACUGGUUAUGGUCCUGCUGUGAACACUGCCAAGGUGGAGCCUGGCUCUGUUUGUGCCGUCUUUGGCCUGGGAGGAGUUGGAUUGGGAGUUACCAUGGGCUGCAAAGUGACUGGUGCAUCGCAGAUCAUUGGUGUGGACAUCAAUAAAGAUAAAUUUGCAAGGGCCAAAGAGCUUGGAGCCACUGAAUGUAUUAGCCCUCAGGAUUUGAGUAAACCAAUCCAGGAAGUGCUCAUUGAGAUGAUGAGCACUGAUGGAGGAGUGGACUAUUCCUUUGAAUGUACUGGUAAUGUGAAGAUCAUGAGAGCAGCACUUGAGGCAUGUCGCCAGGGCUGGGGCAUCAGUGUGGUGGUUGGAGUAGCUGCUUCAGGUGAAGAAAUUGCCACUCAUCCAUUCCAGCUGGCAACAGGUCACACAUGGAAAGGCAUUGCCUUUGGAGGAUGGAAGAGUAUAGAAAGUCCAUAUACUGAAAAAGAAACAACAGAUUGA